AUUGAACGCCGGCGGCAGGCUUAACAUAUGCAAGUCGAGCGAGCGGCGGACGGGUGAGUAAUGUCUGGGAAACUGCCUGAUGGAGGGGGAUAACUACUGGGAACGGUAGCUAAUACCGCAUACCAUAAGAUGUGCCCAGAUGGGAUUAGCUAGUAGGUGGGGUAAUGGCUCACCUAGGCGACGAUCCCUAGCUGGUCUGAGAGGAUGACCAGCCACACUGGAACUCAGACACGGUCCAGACUCCUACGGUAGGCGGCAGUGGGGAAUAUUGCACGAUGGGCGCAAGCCUGAUGCAGCCGUGCCGCGUGUGUGAAGAAGGCCUUCGGGUUGUAGAGCACUUUCAUCGAGGAGGCGUUACUCGCAGAAGAAGCACCGGCUAACUCCGUGCCAGCCGCCGCGGUAAUUC
rnacentral:rRNA from 1 species